GCGAACGCUGGCGGCAGGCCUAACACAUGCAAGUCGAGCGCCCCGCAAGGGGAGCGGCAGACGGGAGAGUAACACGUGGGAACGUACCCUUCAGUUCGGAACAACCCAGGGAAACUUGGGCUAAUACCGAAUACGUCCGUAAGGAGAAAGAUUUAUCGCUGAAGGAUCGGCCCGCGUCUGAUUAGCUAGUUGGUGAGGUAACGGCUCACCAAGGCUACGAUCAGUAGCUGGUCUGAGAGGAUGAUCAGCCUCACUGGGACUGAGACACGGCCCAGACUCCUACGGGAGGCAGCAGUGGGGAAUAUUGGACAAUGGGCGCAAGCCUGAUCCAGCCAUGCCGCGUGGGUGAUGAAGGCCCUAGGGUUGUAAAGCCCUUUCGGCGGGGAAGAUAAUGACGGUACCCGCAGAAGAAGCCCCGGCUAACUUCGUGCCAGCAGCCGCGGUAAU
rnacentral:rRNA from 1 species